rnacentral:rRNA from 1 species
GACGAACGCUGGCGGCGUGCCUAAUACAUGCAAGUCGAACGAGAGCAACCGGUGCUUGCACUGGUCAAUCUAGUGGCGAACGGGUGAGUAACACGUGGGUAACCUGCCCAUCAGAGGGGGAUAACAUCCGGAAACGGAUGCUAAAACCGCAUAGGUCUUCGAACCGCAUGGUUUGAAGAGGAAAAGAGGCGCAAGCUUCUGCUGAUGGAUGGACCCGCGGUGCAUUAGCUAGUUGGUGAGGUAACGGCUCACCAAGGCCGUGAUGCAUAGCCGACCUGAGAGGGUGAUCGGCCACAUUGGGACUGAGACACGGCCCAAACUCCUACGGGAGGCAGCAGUAGGGAAUCUUCCGCAAUGGACGCAAGUCUGACGGAGCAACGCCGCGUGAGUGAAGAAGGUUUUCGGAUCGUAAAACUCUGUUGUUAGAGAAGAACAAGUGCUAGAGUAACUGUUAGCGCCUUGACGAUAUCUAACCAGAAAGCCACGGCUAACUACGUG